rnacentral:rRNA from 1 species
AACGAACGCUGGCGGCAGGCUUAACACAUGCAAGUCGAACGCCCCGCAAGGGGAGUGGCAGACGGGUGAGUAACGCGUGGGAAUCUACCCAGAUCUUCGGAACAACUGAGGGAAACUUCAGCUAAUACCGGAUACGCCCUACGGGGGAAAGAUUUAUCGGAUCUGGAUGAGCCCGCGUUGGAUUAGCUAGUUGGUGAGGUAAUGGCUCACCAAGGCGACGAUCCAUAGCUGGUUUGAGAGGAUGAUCAGCCACACUGGGACUGAGACACGGCCCAGACUCCUACGGGAGGCAGCAGUGGGGAAUAUUGGACAAUGGGCGAAAGCCUGAUCCAGCCAUGCCGCGUGAGUGAUGAAGGCCUUAGGGUUGUAAAGCUCUUUCAGUAGGGAAGAUAAUGACGGUACAUACAGAAGAAGCCCCGGCUAACUUCGUGCCAGCCGCCGCAGUAAAAC